rnacentral:rRNA from 1 species
UACAGAGGGUGCGAGCGUUGUCCGGAAUUACUGGGCGUAAAGUGUGCGCAGGUGGCCGCGCAAGUCGAGUGUGAAAUCCCCGAGCUUAACUUGGGAAUUGCGCUCGAAACUACGUGGCUCGAGUGUGGCAGAGGAAGGUGGAAUUCCACGUGUAGCGGUGAAAUGCGUAGAGAUGUGGAGGAACACCGAUGGCGAAGGCAGCCUUCUGGGCCAACACUGACGCUCAUGCACGAAAGCGUGGGGAGCAAACAGG